CCAUAUCCUCUCUCUCCCUCCUUCCUUCCCCUCUGCAAGUGAGUUUGUGAGAGUGAGUACCACAGAGAUUCACAGAGACACUAGAAAUUGCCGACCUUCUCAUUCGUUGUCAUCGCCAUCGAUGGCCUCCUCCCCUCCGAUCGCGAUGUCGAUGAGGUCGAGGGCAUCUUCCUGAUCCGUUCCUGGAGCUAGGAGGAGAGCGCCUCCACGUCGUCGGCUUCGUCUGCGUCUUCCUCGAGGACUAGGAGCACCAUCGCAGCGGCAGCACGCUCCUCCCUCACCCCGUCCGCGUCUUCGUGCAACCCUUCGGUGAGCAGCCGAUCGCCCCACCGCUCCCUCAAGUCUUAUCUAUCGCGUGACAUGCUGCGCAACGCCUCGCUUCACUCCACUGUCACUAUUGCCGCCAUGACCGAGCCGGGCUUUUGCUCGAUCUCGGGUAGCUCGCCCCCGUCCGCAUAGCCGUUGUCUAUCCUCGGGGAUGGGUUCCCCAUGUAGUCCGCGUCCCCCGCAGGUGGUUCCACUCACCGUAGUACGCCCCCGUGCCGCGUAGCCUCCGUUCAUCGUCGCGGUUCUGUCACCGUGUGGCGUCGCCCCGUGUAGUGGACAUAAGAGGAGUCGUUCCCCUCUUCUGUCAAGAUCCCCCUAGUAGUGCAGUGGUUGCGCGCCUACGCUACAGCCCACAGGUCAUGGGUUUGACCCCCCCUCGCACGACCAAUUAAUCCCGAAUCUUUAUACCACUAUGGUGAGACCGUGACAGUGGGCCAUGGGCCCACAUAUCACCCCCUAGGCCCCCUCGUGCCUAUGUCGGGUGGGGUCUGCCCUAUUUUAUAUUUAUUAUGUGAUUUUUUCUGUUAUGAAAUGCAUUUUGAUUCCUAGCCAAAUAGGGAAAGUGCCAGAUCUUGCAGUGGCCAAAUUUGGAAUAUGCCAAAUCUGCCAUAUAGCUUAUUGCACCUAAUUUGUGAAAAAAUCGUUUUAGUUUUGUUUGUGAUUUUCCUAGAGCAACAUAUGGGUAUGAUAUAUGAUUUUGGGCAUUGGUUUUGUCUUUAGAUUCCUAGAAAACUCCCAGGAAUCGAAUUGGGGCAUUGGUUUUGUCUUUUGAACAAGUUUGCAAUAUUUUGUGAUGAGGCGUCAUUUUGUGUUUUUUGUAGGAUUUAAAUCAUGCAUGCUAUGAUGAGCUUGUCAACAUGGAAGUGCUAGUGUUUUGUGGGCACUAGGCCCUGGUAUUUUCCUUUGCUAGGAUGUGCUAGUAGUUUAGUGGAUUUAUUGCUGAAAAGUUUCUAAGAAAAUGUUGCUGAUUUCACAUGCUAAAUAUUUCGAAGUGUUGGAAACUGUUAAUUUCUUCCCCUCUUGUGUUGAUGAUUCCCAUGAAUACAUGUUCCUUUGUGCUUCGUCAAAUGCCAUGAAUUGUUGUGCUUGUUACCCUCUAUAAAUUGGUGCCUUCACCUUGCGAAAUAGUUUUGCAUCUUAGAAUUAUUUCCUAUCAAAGUUGCCAUGAUGUUAUGACCGCUGCAAUUCCCCUUUGUGAAAUUGACAAAGUUUGAGAAUCUGAAGUUAUUUUCAUGCCAUGUUUAGAGGAUGCUACGAAGUGUUUUGUACUGUUUUACCUCACACUCAGUGCUAGUGUUUUGUAGUAGAUGUUGUCCCCUACGGCCUGUUAAAUUUCAUGCCAUGUAUCUUGAUUGAGAAUAGUGUUUUCUUGCUGCCAACAUGUCACCAGAUUAAAAACUGCAAGUGCAAACUGAGAAUUUCACUAAGUCCUAAUAUGUAAUAUUUCUAGACAUGUUGAGAGCUUGAAUACCAUUGUUUCAUGAACCUAUCAAGUUGUUGUUGGUUAGGAAUUGUUGUUCUAUUUGAUAGCUUCAUUUAUAUGUCUUGGUUGAACUCAUUGAGUGGUUGUAGCGGCUAGUUUACUAUUGAUCAAAAUGACAUGUUGCUGUUAGUGGACAGAUUGGUUGUUGUGUUGUUUUGUGCAUUGUGUGAGUUGUGCUCAUUUGUUUUGCAUGAAUUUUAGGUCUAUUUCACCUAGAAUUUUGGGCCCUGUCCAUUUGCAAUACUUGGAAUGCCAAGAAAAUGCCCAUAGCUUCCUCUCGAGUGUUGUUUAGUCAUUCUUGCCUUUCGUACCUUGUUUUGAGAUUUCUGAGAGUUCCGUAACUCGGUUCGCAAUGUUCUUUAUAUAUUUUUGCACCAUUUUCUUGUGAUGCAUUCAUUUAUUCCAUUUUCAUGCAUGUACAAGUAAAUUAAAUUGAGGUUCUGUCCAAAAUGCUAAUAACUUAGUAAAUGCAUGAGAAACUUGACUAGUUAGCAUUGCGAUGCUCCUUUCAUACCCACACUCAUGCAUCAUGUUGUUUGAAGCAUUGCACCUUGCCUUGUGUUCAUUGGAUGUGUAUGAUUUUUAUUUGGAUAGCAUCAGGAGCUGAGAAUGAGUGCGAGGAUCAUGUUGAGUACGUUCGUGAAGAGCAAGAUUUGUACCAUUCAGAAGAUCUAACAUGCAAGAUGAUUAUGACCUUUAUAUCACCUCUAAUUUUGUUGUGGUUAGAUGACUCGUCUGCAUCGUUAUUUUAUCGCUGCCUACCACCUGAAAACAAGCCUCCAAACAUUGCCAUGAAAGCCUCUAACCCCUUCACUACCUGGCAAAUGUUGAUUGGCUAAGAUAGCACUUGCUAAACUAUCUUAUAGCAUUUCUAGUUGCAAGUGCAGGCUGGUCCAUGUGUCAACAUGGGAUUUUGAAUAUCAUCUAUUUACUUCUAUUUAAUUUAAUGCACCUAUAUACUUGGUAAAAGGCGGAAGGCUUGGCCUUUAGCUGGGCGUUUUGUUCCGCUUUUGCCGCCUUAGUUUCGGCUACCGGAGUUAUAUUACAUAUUGAGCACUCCUAACACGCUUGGGGUUGUUUGGCAAAACAUAGGGAAUAGCUACCCCGAGGAUAACUUUAUCACCCCCGGGCUAGUGCUCCUAAUGAGUGUUGGUCCAAACAGAGCCACUUGCGGGGCCACCCACGACAACUCAGGGGAUUUCUAUCCGGCACCCUACAUAGUGCUCAUCCGUCGUGUCCUGAGACUGAGAUACGCGGCUCUUAUCGGGUUCGUCGAUACGUCAGGUGGUGUUGCAUGAUUUGUAUUCACUUCCUCGAGGUGUCUUGUGCAUGGAGAUUCUGGUGAUACUUUGCGCUAUCUGCUACGUCUUGAGCUUGCGUUGGUUUUCUCUUGAAGAGGAAAGGGUGAUGCAGCAAAGUAGAUAAGUAUUUCCCUCAGUUUGUUGACAACCAAGGUAUCAAUCUAGUAGGAGGAACAAGCCAGGCCCCAAUAGUAGUACCUACACAAACAAUCAAACACUUGCACCCAAUGCUAUAAAGGGGUUGUCAAUCCCUUGAGAGUUAUUUGCAAGGAUGAGAUCUGAUAGAGAUAGAUAUGAAAGAUUGCGGAAACAAAAGUAAAUAAAUGGCAGCAAAGUAUUUUUGGUUUAUAGAUCUAGAAAUAUAAUAUGGAAAGUAGACCUGGGUGCCAUAGGUUUCACUAGAGGCUUCUCUUGUAAAGGAAAAUAAUAUGGUGG
rnacentral:lncRNA from 1 species